UAACAGGUCAGAAUUGAACUGUUUUAUAGUGAAACAUAUAUAUCUAUUUCUAAUCAAUAUCUCCUCAGGAGGAAAGUAAGAAGUUUAUAUGUUAACAAACUUUGUACUUCAAAGACUUAUGACUCACACAUAUUCUGAGUAGAAGCUAUCAAUUUGGCCAAAACAUGACAUUCCACAGCUAUGAGAGAGUUAAUGAUGUACGGUCACUUGGUCAAAGGUUAGUAACUCGACCCCCCCCCCCCCCCUUCCAGAACACUUGUAAUAACUUUGCCAAACAAACCCCAAAUUGUAAACAUCGGAUAAGAACCCCAAACUCCCAAAACAAAAGACUUCCUGUCUCCCUCCCAAUAACAAGACCCUUUCCCAGAACAGGUUAUGUGUGGUAGCUAGAUCACUGUGAGAGUGUAGGUGUUAUAAAAGAAGGCAGAGGUAUUUGACAGAUUCACUCCUGUACUGCACCCCAUCCAUGGGGCAGGCAGGGAGGUCGACUCUGCAAGCUUUUGGUGUAACAUGUCAUUAUAUAGGUGUUGACAAAUUACAAUCAACAUGUAAGAAGCGGGAACGAGAGGAAACGGUCCUCUAGGCCAGAUUGCCAGGGUGAGUGGGUUAUCAUAUUCAAUGUAUAAACCACUAAUUCAAUGUAGUUUUAAUUGGGAAUUAAGUUUGAUUGUUUGACAAAGUUUACUUGAUGGUUGUAUUCAUUUAUUUGUUGGGAAAGUUAUCCAUAAAGAUGGAAGAACUGUAUUGAUUAGAUACUUGUUAUUUUCAUGCGAUAUUGAUUAAGUUUUAAUGAAUGUAAUAUAAACAACAUGUUUAUCAUUUAUUAUCAUGAGUCGGCUUGACGUCAUAUUGUUGGAA
rnacentral:lncRNA from 1 species